rnacentral:rRNA from 1 species
UGGCGGACGGGUGAGUAACGCGUGAGCAACCUGCCUUUCAGAGGGGGAUAACAUUUGGAAACAGAUGCUAAUACCGCAUAAGAUUACAGUACCGCAUGAUACAGUGAUCAAAGGAGCAAUCCGCUGAAAGAUGGGCUCGCGUCCGAUUAGAUAGUUGGUGAGGUAACGGCUCACCAAGUCGACGAUCGGUAGCCGGACUGAGAGGUUGAACGGCCACAUUGGGACUGAGACACGGCCCAGACUCCUACGGGAGGCAGCAGUGGGGAAUAUUGCACAAUGGGCGAAAGCCUGAUGCAGCAACGCCGCGUGAGGGAAGACGGUUUUCGGAUUGUAAACCUCUGUUUUCGGUGAC